GGUAAACGCUGACAGAAUGCUUAACACAUGCAAGUCGACGAUGGGAAGCUAAGCCUAGCUUAGAAGAAGUCAUGGCGGACGGGUGAGUAACGUGUAAAGAACUUGCCCUCUAGACUGGGAUAACAGAUAGAAAUGUCUGAUAAUACCGGAUAUUAUUGUUACAUGGCAUCAUGUAGGAAUGAAAGGAUAAGAUUGCUAGAGGAGAGCUUUGCAUCCUAUUAGCUAGUUGGUAAGGUAGCGGCUUACCAAGCCUUCGAUCAGUAGGGGUUCUGAGAGGAAGGUCCCCCACAUUGGAACUGAGACACGGCCCUU
rnacentral:rRNA from 1 species